UUUUUCAAUUAUUGAUUUUUUACAAAGUGCAUAAAACUGAAAGAGUACAGGUGAUCGUAGAGUAUUAGAUAUGACUUCACUGGGUAUGUUUUGCACUUUUGUUGGAAAUAUUGAAGGAGUAUCUUGACACAGUCAAUGAUCUUAUUGAAUUUUCAACUAAGUUUUAGCAUAAUUAUAUUUAUGUUGGCUGUAGAUGUUGCCAAUUAUUUUUAAAGGUAACUUCUAUAGAGCGGUGGUUAAGACUGGCUAUGUUGUAUGGGGCAGAGUGUUGGCCAGUCAAGAAUUCCCAUGUCCAGAAGAUGAAGGUGGCAGAAAUGAUAAUGCUGAAAUUUGGAAUCUUGAUAUUCAAAUUGAAAUGGGAGAAUCUCAAGAAUGUCCAUUUUUAAAGCCACAGGGUGCGAAAUCUGAACCAAAUCACUAGAGCAUGGUGCCUCAAAUCUCUUCAUAUGCUCAGAUUUCUUUCUGAUUAGGCAGAAAAUAUGGAUGCAUUCAUGGAGACGGUUUCUGGAGAAAUUAUGUCUUCGGAGGAAAUUCAACUUCUUCAUCGCCUCAUAGCCAAACUUGAUUCCGCUAAUAUUGCCACAUCCAAUUAUGUACAAUCAGGUACUGCCUUUGCUGCUCACCUUAAUUCUUGGAUUGUUGAUUCUUGUGCAAGUAGAUACAUGACUGGCUCUUCUAAAGGCAUUAGAAACUAUUCUCCAUGUCUCAAAGAAGAUAAUGUUAAAAUAGCCAAUGGUUUUUUAACACCUAUCUCAGGAACAGAUUCUGUCGUUUGUACUCCUAAUAUUGAACUAAUCAUUCGUACUCCAUGUCCCUGCUGUCAAUCUUUUAUUUGUUAGUGCCAUCAACAAAGCUCUAAACUGUAAAAUUAAGUUCUUUCCAAUCAUUGUAUUUUUCAGGAUCUUCAAACAAGGAAAAGGAUUGACAGUGGUAGAUUGUAUGAUGACUUGUAUAUAUUAGAUAUAAUUCAAAACUCUGGUCAAGCCUUUUUUGGGAAAGUAAGAAUGUUAACCAAGAAAUAAUAAAUCGGUAUAGACGGUUAGAACACCCAUCAUUCUUUGUUUUGAAGAAGUUAUAUCCCGAUUUGUUUUCGAGGACUUAAUUUGAAUCUUUGUUUUGUGAUGCAUUUGAAUAUGCCAAGUAUACUAGAAACUCUUAUUCUGUGAGUGAUAAUAGAAGCAUAACUCCAUUUAUGACUAUUCCUUAUGAUUUAUAAGGUCAUACUCAAAUUGUUUCUCGUCUGGUAAUUGAUAGAUUUGUUACUUUCAUUGAUUUCUGCAUUAAGAUGACUUGUGUACUUUUGUUAAAAGCCAAAAGUGAAGUUUUCUCUUGUUUUCAGUCAUUUCAUAAGAUAAUUUGUCUCAUUUUGAUGCCAAAAUAAAAAUCUUGUGAACUGACAAUGGUGGCGAAUAUAUGAAUAAAAGAUUUGGUUCUCAUAUGGAGUCCAAUAGGAUAGUCCAUCAGACUAGUUGUCGUUACACUAGUGCACAAAAUGGGGUCGCUGAAAGAAAAUAUAGCAUUUGUUAGAAGUAGCUAGAUCUCUUGUGUUCAACAUGCAUCUAUCAAAACCUUACCGGGGGAUGCUAUUCUAGUUGCUGUCUAUCUUAUCAACAAAAUGCCACUUAAAACCCUCAUUUUUCGUAGUCUUCUGGAAGCUUUAAAACGUAAGCAUGAAUAUACUAUUCCUCCAAAGGUGUUUGGGUGUGUUUGCUUUGUCUACACUAGGAAUUUUGGGAAACUUGAUCCUAGAACACAUAAAGUUUACAAAUGUUAUCAUUCUCUCUCUAGGAGAUCUUUUGUUAGCAUGCAUGUUAGCUUUGAGAUUUGAGCCGUAUUUCAAUAUUACCUUAUCACCUCAAGCACUGUAAUCCCAGACUCACACCCUAGACCUCGAUAUUUGACCCCGACCCCAACACUCGAUUUCGACCACGAUCUAGACUUUGACUCCGUAUCCACACCCUUAUCCCUAUACCUAACCGCGAUAACAAUCCUUGACUCUAACCCGAACCUAGACUUCGAACCUCGAUCCCUAAUCUCGGUCAUAUGCCUUGACCAUGAUCUUUGACCCCCAACUCGAACCGAACAUCGAUCAUGGACCCCAACCUCGAACUGAACCUUGAUAGUGGAUCCUGACAACCUAGCCCCAACAUUGAACCUGAACCCUUACCCCAACCGCAACCCCAUUCUCGACCCCCAAUCCUAGACCCGAACAUCACCCCCGACAUCGGGCUCAGGUGGCCGACCCCAAACUUGACCCUGUCCCGACACCUGGUCCCUUACUUCGACACCGGGCCUCUGACCUUAGUGUUUUGAUUCACGAAGUCUGAGACGGGCGGGGUAGGGAUGGCAGGAG